rnacentral:sRNA from 1 species
GCCAGGCGUGGUGGCGCACACCUGUAAUCCCAGCUGCUCUGGAGGAGAGGCAGGAGAAUCGCAAGUUCAAAGCCAGUCUCAGCAAUUUAGUGAGUCGCUAAGCAACUCAGUGAGACCCUGUCUCUA